rnacentral:rRNA from 1 species
UAAUACGUAGGGGCCGAGCGUUGUCCGGAGUUACUGGGCGUAAAGCGCGCGCAGGCGGCUCGUCAAGUCCGGCGUGAAAGCCCCCGGCUCAACCGGGGAGGGUCGUCGGAGACUGGCGGGCUUGAGAGCGGCAGGGGUCGGUGGAAUGCCCGGUGUAGUGGUGAAAUGCGUAGAGAUCGGGCGGAACACCCGUGGCGAAGGCGGCCGACUGGGCCGACUCUGACGCUGAGGCGCGAAGGCGUGGGGAGCGAACGGG